GACGAACGCUGGCGGCGUGCUUAACACAUGCAAGUCGAACGGAGUUACGUAUGAAGUAUUUCGGUACGGACUAUGUAACUUAGUGGCGAACGGGUGAGUAACACGUGGGCAACCUGCCCUUAACCGGGGGAUAACAUUGUGAAAACAGUGCUAAUACCGCAUAACAGAGUAUCGGGCAUUCGAUAUUUUUAAAAGGAGCAAUCCGGUUUAGGAUGGGCCCGCGUCCAAUUAGCUAGUUGGUGAGGUAACGGCUCACCAAGGCUACGAUUGGUAGCCGAACUGAGAGGUUGAUCGGCCACAUUGGGACUGAGACACGGCCCAGACUCCUACGGGAGGCAGCAGUGGGGAAUAUUGGGCAAUGGGCGAAAGCCUGACCCAGCGACGCCGCGUGAAGGAUGAAGGUCUUCGGAUUGUAAACUUCUUUGAUCAGGGAAGAAAGAAAUGACGGUACCUGAAGAACAAGCCACGGCUAACUACGUG
rnacentral:rRNA from 1 species